UGUAAAACUUCCCGUUAUAUGUGGCAACUAGUAUGUUAUUUCCAUGUGCACGGCCUAUUUCGAGAUAGAUCUCAGUUAAAACUCAUCUCCCUCCGUCAUUCGUCUAUGUCUUCCCCUCACGGCGGCUGAGCUUCCUGUGGUCGUCAAGCUCGCCAACCCUGAUGAAGCUCCGACCACCGGUCCCCGCGCGUACAAUAUCCUUUCCAAUUCUCCAUGACAGGCAGCAAGUCGCCGUCGAUGUUGCCAUCAAACGAUACUGCCGCCACUCACCUCUGCACCUCCGUCGACAGCGUAACAGACCCAUCGCGCUUCUGGUCUUCAAGCUUCAGCCAAAUAACACCAACAUAGACAAUUUACAUACAAACACAACCCAACCAAAUUUUGUUUUCAUGUAAUUGAUUCUCUCUUUAUUCGUUUCUUUCCCAAUUCUCCAAGCUCUAACUUUCUGUCGCCUAUCCUCAAUCCCUCCUUGUGUCUAUUUUUCUUUUUCUUUUAAGUCGACCGUAUUGCAUUCUAACAAUGACAAGUAGGCUGCACACAUGGAAAUAAUAUAUUUUUAAUUUUUUGUAAGUUGUAUCGGUCGUUUACAAAAAUGUAAUGGAAGGAUUGUGAAAGGAAAAGUUCAAAGCUCAAUUAUUUAUCUAAUCUUAUAUCUAUAUAAAGGAAAAUCCCGGACGGCUGACGUGGCGUAGUAAACACUCUCCUAACUCAUUUCUCUGUUUUUUAAGAUUUUUGCGUUUUUUAAAAUCAAAAAUGCACAUGACUAAUGAAUAUCGAAAGGUCAGAUGUCCAUUUAUUGCAUCUGUGUCCACUUAUUAUUGCAUCUGUGACUUUUUAUUAUCCCAAGUUCGUUCUUCCUACAUGCCAGCUCAGAAUCAUCAAUGAAUUAGUAAUGGGUUCAUUUUUAUUUCUUGUGCAUAAAUUAUUAGCGUGUGUCGAUUUGAUUUUUCAAGAAGAGAUUAGCUGGUCAAUUUUCUCAUCAAAAAGGAGAAGAGGUCAGACUUGCAAAUCUUCAAGAGCUUCAUUUUGUUGGUGUUGGAGUUGGAGUGGGCGUGCAGUGACUUCCUGUCUGUCAUGAUUAGUCACUCUUUUGGUUGUUGUCUCUUUUCUCAGCGGCCGGUGGCCUAUUAUCGAUGGUGCUUUCAUUCAACGCAUCCACAUCUUCCCCACUUUCGGCGCGUACGGCUAUUUCCAGCGAUUUGUUACUUAUAUAUUCGGUACAUCCCAUUUUUUGAUCGAGUACUAUUAUUAUGAUCGACCUAAUCCUAUCUUACAUGUCUCUCUCGAUUUGUGAUUUUAUGAUAUCAUAUCUUGCUCAAUUCAAAUCAAAUUCUCUCAUUUUUCAGAUUUUAACGUUUUAUAAUUAUUUUAUCUUUAAAAAUUUAGAAAUGCCAAUGGCUAUUCUGUGUGUAAUUUUAUUUUUAACAAUAUGUGAAUAUAAAAUGUGAUUUUGUGUGGUUUUAAUUUGAGGUUUAGGUUGAAUUUUCAGGUUGAAGGUUCUGAGGCACCCGAUACUAGCUCAAUCAGUUUCAAUUCCAAUUAGAUAAUUUUCUAGAUUUGCUUUGUGGGUUUUUUAAAUUGAGGCAAAAAAAUGUUAAUGGUUGGUGCUGGUGGUGUUGGAUGUGAGCUCCUCAAGGCUCUUGCUCUCUGGCUUUCGAGAUAUUCGCAUAGGUUGUUUUCUGCAUGGCUAGAACCCAUUACGUUUGGGAAAAUUAGAAGUUAGCUUUGCCGGAAUGAUAUCUUCAUGACGAUGACGAACCUAGACCGACGAAGAGAGAGCUGAUAUAGGCAUUGUGACUCCGGUCUCAUUCCGUGAUAAAGCAUGAACUGCAGUCACUUAUGAGCAAGGAAUAUGUGUUCAAGUUGUCACGGAACAAGUAUAAUAUUGUUGAUGGCCGGCAGAAUUAUGGGGUUUCUGCAGUAUACGUCUCUCUGCAAGAGCUAGAAUCUGCUUACGCGGAGAAGUCCCUGCCACAAGUAAGUGUAUUUUUUGCCUUUCUAGAUAAUAAAUAUGUGUAUUUUCCUGGUUGUCAUGCUCCAGGCUGUCCACGAAUAAGGGGGAACUUCAGUAGCUGAUGACAACGUGGAUGCUGUCGCCAAUGAACGCAAGAGAAAGCUUGAACCUGAAGAUCUUCAAGCUGUUCUUUAGAGCCGGACCUUGCACAACACUGAAGGCCUUAUUAGGUCCAUCAAUGUUAUAGUGCCAACUUUUUGUGACUCUGCAUGUCAUAAAACAAGACACAUAUAACCAGAACCUGGCUUCUCCUUUUAUUUUUAUCCUGUGACUGAUAUUUUGCG